AGUGAACGCUGGCGGUAGGCCUAACACAUGCGAGUCGAACGGCAGCACAGUAAGAGCUUGCUCUUACGGGUGGCGAGUGGCGGACGGGUGAGGAAUACAUCGGAAUCUACUUUUUCGUGGGGGAUAACGUAGGGAAACUUACGCUAAUACCGCAUACGACCUACGGGUGAAAGCAAGGGAUCUUCGGACCUUGCGCGAUCGAAUGAGCCGAUGUCGGGUUAGCUAGUUGGCGGGGUAAAGGCGCACCAAGGCGAAGAUCCGUAGCCGGUCUGGGCGGGUGAACAGCCACACUGGAAGUGGACCACGGUCCAGAGACCUAGGGGAGGCACAAGUGGGGAAGAUUGGACGAUGGGCGCAAGCCUGAUCCAGCCAUGCCGGGUGGGUGAAGAAGGGCUGCGGGUUGGAAAGCCCUUUUGUUGUGAAAGAAAAGCAGCAGGUUAAUACCCCGCUGUUCUGACGGUACCCAAAGAAUAAGCACCGGCUAACUUCGUG
rnacentral:rRNA from 1 species